GGGCGCAUAGCUCAGUUGGCAGAGCAGCUGACUCUUAAUCAGCGGGUCCAAGGUUCGAGUCCUUGUGCGCCCACCA
rnacentral:tRNA from 8 species